UGCUCGCGGUGGAGUCGGGCGGCGGAGCGGGGCGGCCUUGUGGAUCCGAGGCCCGGCCUUGUGGAUCCGAGGCCCUGGCAGCUGAAGGAUUGGGCCCGGUCCUAACUCUCUGGACGCGGGAGUUUGUGUGAUGUGCACCUCGAACUGGGGCCUGAUUUCCUGGAGAGGCUGAGGCUGCCGAAAUGAGUUUCCAGUAUCGAACAAUGCAACUGUAUAUCACCAAACAGUGUUUUGUUUGUUUUUAAAAGCCGUUUUUCUCAGUCGUCCUUGUCUCACCUUUUCCUUUCUUUUGUUCGUCUUUUCUGUAUCAUUACUUAGGGGAGUGGGCGUUGUCCGUGUUGAAAUAAAAACUGGGACGGGAUCUUCGCCCAGUUGGCGCUUUCUCAGCGCGCUGACCUGCGGUCGAGGCUUGGAGCCGAGCUCUGGAGAGGGCGGAGGCCCCGAGCGGAGAUUUCUAUUAUAGAUCAAUGCAGAAUGGAUCAAACCGGAAAGAAGCCUCUCUGGCUAGAAACAGUCUUCAUUGGAAGAAAUAACAUCCCUAAAGGAGGAACGUGUAAAUCAGGAAUUGAGCCGGGAAAGAGCCUGGGAGGGCCCAGCAGAAAAGAAUCCACCUGCAAUGUGUAACACAGGAGAUGUGGGUUCAAUCCCUGGGUCGGGAAGAAUCCCCUGGAGAAGGAAAUGGCCAACACACUCUAGUGUUCUUGCCUGGGAAAUCCCAUGGACAGAGGAGCCUGGCGGGCUACAUUCCACAGCAUCACAAGAGAGUUGGACUCAACUUAAGCCAGCUUAACAAUAACAGGCAUCUUCAGCUUAUUUCUCAAGAGUGCAUGAAAACUGUUUAUCUCAAGAGAUGGGGAUGUCAGACUCUGAGAUGAAAGGGAGACUUUAUCUCUUGUGUGUUCUGUUCAAAAUUGGACUCCUGCCAUGUGUGUGUAUUACUGUUUCAAGGAAAUAAAUGUUUAAAGAAACACUUAAUAGACAAAGCACAGAGCCACUGAUCAUCCCCAAGUGAGAAGUUGGGGGGAAAUCAUUUAAUCUUCAGAACUGACAGGAAAUUUAGAGGUCUGGUAACCCACUUUUUCUUCACCCCCUGGAAUGCUUACCACUUCUGAUGCUUGUCUUACAGCCUCCAUUCGAACAGGGGAAGAAACCAUUAAUGAGAAAGGAAAAGAAGAAACUAAAGCAGAGAGGGAUUAACUGAUGGAGCAAGACUUUGGAGAUGAAGCAAGAAGGACAAGGUGGCCGGAUUGGUCUUAACCAAGAGGCUCCUGUGAUAAUAGAAGCUGGAAAGUUCCAAGAUCUGGAGGGUGAGUUGGCAAGCUGGAGACCCCAGGAGGGGUCACCUCUGUACCCACAUCCUCAGCUCAUCUUUGCAAUUACUACAGCCUCAACCAGUACUGUGACAGCAGCCUUGUGAGAGACCCUGACCUAGAGGACCCAGCUAAGCCACGCUGUGACUCCUGACCCAUGUGAACUGUGAGAUAAUACAUAUUAUAUGGAAUAAUCUAUUGUUGAACAGCAGUAACUCUCUGGAACAGUAAAUCUUAAAGCCUUAAAGAAGAAGGGCAUAAUUUAGGAUUUGAGAUGAACUUCUUCUCUGUCUCCAGAAUUCUUAAGAGGAAGAAUUAAUGAGAAUUGAAAGGAGAAGCUUCUACUGGAAGAAUAAUAUUUGAGUUCCAGGCACUUCUGAACAAAUAGAAUAUGAAAAUGCCGGUGCUGAAACUAAUGCAAGAAACUCUGCAUGGAAGCUCUCCAUGCAGCUAAAGAAGCCAAAAGAGACGUGUGAUAUCUCUUCUGAAAGAAUUAGAACACAGCUUGGUGUCAAUAAAAAGACUGCAACCCAUGGAGAAAAUAGUUAUUAAAAAUAUGUCCUCAAAGUCAGCAAGAGACAGACAGAGACAGAGAUGUUUGAAGAUGGAGUGAAAAAGAAAUGUUUGGAGUUAGCUAAUAACAAUGAUAUCAUCUUCCAACUAGUUUAGAAUCAGAGCUUUUUCAGCAACUGAAAAAAUGUACACAAAAAUAAGUUCACUAUCUAAUAAAAACCAACUGACACACUCUUAAA